CCCCUGGCCUCUCUCUGCUCGCAGGGCGCAGGAGCCGUUGCUGUCUGUCCGAUGGAGGAACUUCAGCUGGGGCCUCUUCCUGGUCGCUCCUGCUUCCUCCAGGGGGGGUGGCCUGUCCCUCGCGCUCCAUGGACGACUCCUCUGGCCACGGAAACUUUCUUCGGUUCCAGUCUGGGACAGCCGAUUGUUAAAACAAGGAAAGAUGAUUGAUAUAACACAUUUUAAGCUCGAAUUAAAGUGUUCUAAUAAGGUCACUUAAGCCAGGGCUUUACCUUCGGCAUGUCAGACACCCUCCGUGUCGAUUGGGGCUGCUUGUCCGUGUCAUCCAUCUUCUUAAUCACGCCUUCAUUCAUUGUUAUUUUAACCUUAAUUGUUAUUUUAAUUUUGAUCUUAACUACGUUGAUUUCUUUGUUCUCCAUUUUUUAGACGUCAAGACCCUUCAGAAUGCAACCAGUCGUUCAGAUGCUCAAAAAGUUUGAGAAGAUAAGUACAUGUGAUUCAAAAGUAACCAAGCUGUUGUCACGGACGCCUAUUCGUACCGGACGACAUAACAGACGAUGCGAUCCUCUGCAGCUCGUCGGUGACUUUCGGCCGCGUUCGGCUCCGACUGACCGGUCGUAGGUCCGAUUCGGCCGUAAGCAGGUUGCCAACUCUGACGCAUCUGGCGCGAGACUUGGGCUUUCAGACUCAAACGCACACAGCAAUAAAUCUUAUGGAGAAUCUCUAUUAAUCCAUUUAAAAUCUAAAACUGGCUACAUCAAAAGUGUUUGGGCAGUUUGCAAAUCCUGAAGACUAUUUACAAGGUAAUAAAACCGUUAUAUAAAUGUGAAUACGUGUGUAGACUUGUCUCGAAUUGAAAAUCUCACGCCAACCAGCUGACCAAAGUUGGCAACCCAGCGUAAAUCGACCCUUUAUUUUAUAUGCAAAAAUGAUCAUAUGCAGGGGGCACAUAACUGGUAUGAAAGUACUUAUUCGCUGUUUAAACCAAUACGCGCGGUAAUGUCUUGUAGCAGCGCAAAUACGUGUUUAUUUUAUGUGCAUUCGCAAUGUUAGGACAAGAAAUCAUUGUGUAUUUUAGCCUUCAUGUCGCAGAAGUAGUACAAAUUAGCCACAUAAAUGUUAAGAUGCAGGGUAAUUUCUUGUCAUAGCGUGAAUGCACAUAAAAUAAAUACGCAUUUGCGCUGGUACAACAAGGAAUUACCAUGCGUGUACGGGGAAUGCGUACUUGCGCACCAUGCAGUUAUUUGCGCUACUGAUCAUAUGUACACUGUAAGAAAUGGCAGUGAAAUUGACAUAAAAACCAUGUAAAAUCACUACAGAAAAGUAUAGUAAACCCAAAAACACAAUUUUCCUGCUUCAAUCACAGCGGACUUUUGUAAACUAUUAAAUAUAAUGUUUUUGUUAUAUGUACAACAUCAAUGUGUGAUUAUAAUCAAAUUUAUUUGUUAAAACUACAAAUACUGGGAACAAAAACAGUGAAAUACUUUAAUACUUAUAACAAAACAAUUUUGUUAAUUUGACGUGUAAAUAUUGUAAAAAUUAUAGUUUUAGUCAGUUGUUUUUAAAAAAUACAAGAAUUAUAUGUAAGUCACUUUUCAAGUUUAUACUGUAGGCAUUUACGGGGCCUACUUUUAACAUGAUCAUGAAAUGAUGCAAAUUCAGGUAUAGGACUAAUAAAAAUGUUUUCACAGAAGAUGUGAACCUGAGAGGUUGCCUCUCUAUUUAUAGGCUAUAUAAAAAUAUACCAAUUAUAAUUGUUUACAUUAUGUGUUUUUUUUAAUCAUCCGGGCUAUUUGCAGCCUAUUGUUGAGUAACCUAUAAGAAAUUAUCAUUUAACGCCUAAGUAAUGCUUCUGUUCAGUCAUAAUGCUUGUAUUCUUUAUGUUUCUUUUAAUGACAAUGUGAUACUUAGACUAGACUACUGUUUUGGGUUAUGUUAGCAAUGUCUCAUUAUUACAGGCUAAACAAACUUACAAUGCCACCCAUAGGAUUUCUAUGGUGCCUCCUCUUCACAGAGCUGUAGGUCACUCUGCUGCACUGAGUGCGCCUAAUUUUGAAUGUGCAUCUGAAGCUCGUCUCUGAUUGGAUAAUGACGUGAGGGCGGGAGCACGCACCAUUUGCAGAGUGGAGAAGGAGAAGACAGAAAACGUCGAAGUCUUUAGGACAAAUUACAAACAUACGAUUUGAAUUUUCUUUUGAUGAUCUGUGUUUGUUCAUCAGAAAGUUUGCACGACUAUUGCUGAAGAAAUGCAGAAUGUGCACGAAUUGGGUCAAGCCUACACAAUAAAUAAGGUACUGUGAAGUAACAUGAAGUGAGUUUUAUGCUGAUCCGAAUGCCUGUGGUCCUCCAAGCGCUCCGGAGACAUAUGACGCAGCUGUUGCUGAUCUCCAGGCUGAAACUAUCCAAGACGUUAGAGGAAUAAAGGGGAAAAGGCUUCUGGACUACAUGACCACAGUUGCUGUCAGCAAAAGCAAGACGUUCCUUCAGACUUAUGCAAGGCUUCAGAGGAUAUGGGGACCGCAGAGUGGCUGCUCAGAUGAUGUGAAAGAGAUGGUCCUGCUUCUGCUCAGCUACUUUGAUGAGAAGGAGGAGUACAUGCUUUUCCAUGUUGAAGAUGCAUGUCUGGCAGAUGAGGUACAACUGGAGCAAGUGCCUCUGACAACCACUAUUAUUGUGUGUGGACAGUCCUGCUAUUCCUCAAGAAGAUACAUGCUGAGCAUUGAUCGGAACCUCGUCAGCACAAACAUAUCCUCCUUCGUUUCUGCACUGUGCCUCAUGUUCGGGAGCUACUACAAUUUUAACAUCCGUUAUCCAUCUGAGCUGGCUUCCACUCUGGAGUUUCUUCAGAGGUGUUUCUUCUGCAUGAACCCAGAAAAAGGAACCAAAGUAGAGAACAAAAACUCGAAGCAUCAUCUCAGUGUGAACCCUCGAGUCCUCACCCUGAUUCAGGAUCUCGUCGACCACGAGUGGCGCUAAGCCUAAGUAUUGACUCUCUGUGGACUGUUAGUUUUACUUUGUUAAAUCCACAAUGUGUACUUAAACCUUUUUCUGGUCGAAUGCAUGAAGCCAAUUCAUGAAUGAAUUCAUGAAGAUGUUCUUGCUUUGAAGGAAUGUUCCAGUUUUGUUUUGUUUUUUUUAACCAUGCUGCUACUGCAGUGUUUCUAGACCACCUGUGUAGGUUUGUUUCACCACAGGUGGUUUUCCUGAUGUGUUCUUUGACCAAGGCCAUGGUUGUGGUGACAGCAGGGUGCGUGUUGCAUUGCAUGGUGAUUAUGAUCAUUUUGGCACAAUAUGUCAUUUUUGUUUUAAAAUCUUAACAGGUUAUUUAACUUUUUCUGGUAGAGUGUACAAAUGCUUUUUUCAUGAACAUGGUUCUUGCUUUGCAGGAAUGUUCAACAGCUUUAUAGCUUUUGAUUCAAUUGUGUAGUUGCUGUGCGCCUUGCAUAUUAUGUUAGUUGGAAAAAAUGCAUCCAACUGUUGUCAUUUGCUUUAUUGGCUGCAAAAUAAAUUUCCCAAAAGUGA